UCCUGAGUGGCUCAGAGGCACCAGCUCUUCCCUCUGCCCAGUCGCUGAGGUGGCUGGAAUGUGUUCUCCAGAGUGUGUCUUACAAGUGCUCCUGCUGUAACCUGUAACCUGGUUACAUCCGUGUGAUGUCAUCAAUGGAGUGGUCCAGCUCGAUGUUCUGUGAGACAUUGCGACAACCAACAAAAUCACAGGAAAAGCUCAGAUCAUUGAUACAGUCUUGAAACAAGAGUGAAAUUGUACUCUUGACUGUCAAGUAAAAGCUGACAUCAGAUACUAAUUCCCAUAUAGGAGAGAAAUGCCACUGUGGUUGAGUGAAUAAGAUCAUCCAGGGAAAAAGAGCACUGGAAGAAAAUAGAACCUUAAUGAGAAAUCCUUGAGGCAUUUUAAACUCCUCAGCCAGACAGAGAAGUAUGGAAAGUGGACAUGAUGGAAUAACCAGAGAGGCAGAAGGAGAACCAGGCAAGUAAUGUGCCUUGGAAGUCAAGAAAAUGUUCUGAAGGAUUGGUACAAAUGUGUGCUUCCAUAACUGGGACAUAGGAAAUAUUCUGGGGGAGGAGCCUCUUGAAAUUAAAAAAA